rnacentral:lncRNA from 1 species
AUGUUUCUGCGGAGACCCUCCUCCGGCGGGGAGAGACAGCGCUCGGUGGCGCCCCGCUUGCCUCCUCUCCACCCCCCUCACCUCCAGCCCGCCUCCCGCCGGCCGCCCGCCUCUGGGCCGCGAGCCCCUAGGGCGGCUGUCAGCUCCCGGCCGCCGCCGGGUGACAGGAGCCGGAGGAGGGCGCGACGCGGCGGCCCAAGCCCGAGCGGGCGAGGGGGAUCCUCGCAGCAGCAGCAGCAGCAGCGGCGGCCGCUCACCUGGAAAGUCACCGCUGAGAAGGAGGAGGAGAAGGAGGAGGAAGAGGAGGGAGAGGAGGAGGGGGAGGAAACCCCCCUGGUGCCCUUGUUCUCGCUGCCGCGGCGGCCGCUCCUCGCCAAGGCUGAGCGUGUCUGGUGGGGGGUGUCUGGUAGCAUUUCCUUAAGGACAGAGGGAGGGAGGGCGGGCACGGAGGGAGGGAAGCGAUCCCGACCGCCUGCCCAGGCUCCUCUUUCCUUUAUUUAUUUUUCUGACACUGUACGGAGAUGGUCCCGGGACAGGGGCCGCCGGGCUCGGGAGGGAGCCGCGAGGCCCGGGCCGCAGCAGUCUGCGUGCGGGAGCCGCAGCGGCCGCCUCCCCUCCCGGUCUGUGGACGCACGGGGUUAUUCCUGGCAGCGCCUCCCCGAACAGAAGUUACUAGGAGGAGUGCGCGGCGAGGGCGGGCGGGGGGAGAGGCGGAGGGAGGGAGGAAGAGGGAGAGACUCAGCCAGCGACGUCAUCGGAUCCCCCAGCGCGUCCCAGGGAGGGAGGCCGAACCAGAAAAACCAGUCUGGAGCCGGCGAGCGGAGAGGGUUGUGCGGCGCGACGGGGGAGGGAAGCGACCGGGAAGUCAAGGCCCGGCCCCGCUGCAGCCGCGCUCCCGCUCGCUCGGAUCCAGGGAUCUCCCCAGAGAGCCAGUCUCUACUUGUCAUGCAAAAAAACUUGGGCGUCUCUAGGAGCCUGAGAAUUUCCUUUAGGGAUGCGGAAACCUCCUCCCUCCCACUCCUAUCUUCCCAUUUCCCAGAUCUUUCCUCAUCUAGAAGACAAAGAGAAUUAUAG